CCCCGUGAAGAAAAAAUUGUUUUCAGGCAGUGUCUAGAAGCCCUGCAACGAAGGACCCCUCCUGUGGAACCCACGUUGGAAUGUGGAGGGUUCUGGCCGCCUGGAGACAGCAAAAUUAAAGAAACGAAAGGAUAUGGAGCGGGAAAAGGGACAAACUUCAUCAGAUAGCGGCCUAGGUCGCCUAGGCUGGCGGAUGCUUGUCCUAGGACUACAAGUCCCAUCAUGCAAAGCGUUAGUUGGAGCCCAGCGGCCGCUGGAUUCCAAAUCCGCGCGUUUCGUCAUGGCUAAGCGUGCAUUAAUUAAUAACCCAGGAGCUGCAGACUGACUGGUCCACAGAAAGAGACUGUUAUUCCUAUUUCUUGUAAUAAAAAUGAUCAGUGGUUG